AGUUGCGUAUCUAGGAGUCACUAGAAUGCACUUGAGCGUUGAAUUCCCCCAUUUCAGUGGAAUUGCUGACAGUAUUGAAUCAAAACGUCACGUUAUGACUCCUUAAUGAUGGCAUCGUGUGUGUAUUUAUAUAGAAAAUGUCAAAUGAUUGGACUUUAAAAUGACAAAUCCUUAAUAGGUCGAUAUUAUAUGUAGGAUAAAUAUUUUUUUUUUUUUAAAUCAAGUUCUGAGAGAUAAUGAUGAUGCCCUGGUAUUUACCAACUUUCAUUAGAAGAGAGAUACUUAGGCAUUAUUCUACACGGCGGGAGAGUUAAGGAUAAUAGAGUUGGGGGGGGAAGGACCAACCUUCUGACUGCAUCAUACACACAUGCAAUACUAUCUGUUUUACAUCAAAGAGAGUUGGUUGGUUGUAGGGCCAUUCAUCUUACUCACCCCCAUAAUAAUUAGUGGUUACUAGCUUGACUCCUAAGGAUGUUCGUUACUGCUUCACCCCCUCCUCUCCUCUCUUUACAACAGGGGGGUAGAAUAAUGGCAACGAUGAUGAUGCUCUAUGUAGUGACUAGUAGGGUGUCUGGGUGUUUUGUAUGGUUGAUUUAUUAAGAAGAAAAUGAGAUGAUGCACCAAAGGAGGUCUUGUCUCUAGAGUCUACACUCUCUGCCUUCCUUCAUCAUCAACAUCAUGUUUUUCUUAACAAUUAUUGGGUUUCUCAAUCCUUUUGCUACGGUAUCAACUAUUCAAUGGACAAUGACUAAUAAUGACACUUAGCUUGAAGGAAUCUUAGAAGGGGACUGCCAAUACUAGAACUGAUAUAAAAAAAGAAAAAGAAAUCAAGUUGAUUGACGUCAUCAAGGAAGGAACUUUAUAUGUUUUUAGAACUGAUAUUCCGGACUGUUCUGGACGGGAGUGCACUGACGCAAGACUAUGUAGAAGGAUAGGGGUAGGAGAGAGAAAGGCAAGAGAUGCAACGGCUUCUUGGCCCAAUUUAGGGUAAAAUAAGCAAUGGUACCUUCGGCCAAUUUUUGACCUGUCUAAAAAAAUGUCCCCAGAAAGGUUAUUUUACAAAAGAGUUACCAACGAAAUGCUAGUAAAGCCCUCUCAAUAAAUUAUCUUCUCCCACGUUUUGGGUCAAAGGCAGCUCAGAAGGAUUGACUCAGGUAUUCUAAGUACUUGUACAGCACAUGAGGUGGAAUAACAUGGUAUGAAGUUCACAGACACUACUACCACACAUUAAUAGGGCAGAUGGGAUGGAUCUCGGAUUUUUGUUUUCCUUCAAAUUUCCCUCUCGAAAUCAUAUUGUAAUAGUGAAUGGUUGAAAAUUACAAUACCAACAACAAUAAUAAUAAUAACAAUAAAAUAAUCAAUGAAGACACACUACACUCGUGUAUCCACUUUUAUGUAGCAGGGCAGCCUUUAAUAAUAGAUGGAGACAGAAGAAAUUCAAUUCUUUCAUCCAUUUUUUAUUGUUAUUACACAUUAUUAUAUUGAUGACUCAAACAUGUGGAUUCAUUUCACUUGGGACGGUCAACCGUUCUCUUUUCGCCGGACAUGACAUCUUCUUUUUAUAUCCUGUCUGAGACGUUUGAGACUUUUUUAAACGUAUAAAUUAAUAAAAUGUCCAAUUUUAUUAAGGGUCCCAUGUUAACAAUCGAGAUGAAUAGGAAAUAAAAUUGGCAUUAAUGAAAUAUAAAAAUGAAAAAUA
rnacentral:lncRNA from 1 species